GCAGGGGCGGAUCUAGGGGUAGUCAGAUUAGUCACGCGACUAACGUAAAAAAAAGGCAUAUAAAAACCUUAGUCCAAAUUUUUUUAUAUGCCUUUUUUUUACGUUAGUCGCGUGACUAAUCUGACUACCCCUAGAUCCGCCCCUGAAUCAACACAAGUAUAUGUUUUAGUCUGACUCAAUGUC
rnacentral:miRNA from 1 species